rnacentral:rRNA from 1 species
GUGCCAGCCGCCGCGGUAAUACCGGCAGCUCGAGUGAUGUCCAAUAUUAUUGGGCCUAAAGCGUCCGUAGCUGGCCGCGCAAGUCCGUCGGGAAAUCCACCUGCCCAACAGGUGGGCGUCCGGCGGAAACUGUGUGGCUUGGAACCGGAAGGCUCAGAGGGUACGUCCGGGGUAGGAGUGAAAUCCCGUAAUCCUGGACGGACCGCCGAUGGCGAAAGCACGUCGCGAGAACGGAUCCGACAGUGAGGGACGAAAGCCAGGGUCUCGAACCGGAUUAGAUACCCGGGUAGUCC